rnacentral:rRNA from 1 species
GCCCAGCCGUAAACUUUUAUUUACAUCUAAAUCGCCAGGGAACUACGAGCUAAGCUUAAAACCCAAAGGACUUGACGGUACCCCACAUCCUACUAGAGGAGCCUGUUCUGUAAUCGAUAAUCCGCGUUUAACCUCACCAUCUUUAGUUAAUCAGCCUGUAUACCUCCGUCGUCAGCUUACCACGUGAGCGCAAAUUAGUGGGCCCAAUGUUAUUACACCAAUACGUCAGGUCAAGGUGCAGCAAAUAAGAUGGGAAGAGAUGGGCUACACUUUCUAUUUUAGAAAAAACGGAAAACUACCUAUGAAACCUAGUUGGAAGGCGGAUUUAGCAGUAAAAAGGAAUCAACACGUCCAUUUUAACUUGGCACUGGGGUGUGU